GGGAUUGUCGCUCAGCAGUAGAGUGCUCCCCUAGCAAGGGCGGGACCCGGGUUCGAUUCUCGGCACCA
rnacentral:tRNA from 1 species